CUUCAUUGUUCAGACAUUGCAUGAAGUUGUCAUUGAACCUUUGCCAUACUUCAUAUAGGGGCUCACCACUAAGUUGAUGAAAAUUUAUGAUUUCGUCUCUUAGUUG
rfam:Capsicum annuum cultivar Zunla-1 chromosome 7, whole genome shotgun sequence